UUUGGAGAGGGUAAGUCAACCAUUUUUUUAUGCUUAUUUGCUUUAAUGACAGAAUGAUGGAGAAAAACAUGUUUUUACAAGCACCAGAAUAAGCAAUGUGUAAUAAUACAGAGUCCCUUGUCAUCAACAGCUUUACCCACUUUAGAAUUGACCAGCUUAUUGCAUGAUUGAAGAGACCUCGUUGGUGGGGACAUCAGAGGAAUCAGGUGUACCUGGUGGUGGGCAGUAUCGCAACUGACUUGGCUGCACGUCUGCAUCUCCAAAUCUCAGACGUUUGGUGUCUUCAGCUUUAGAAAUGCUUUUGCUCAGCUUGCAAGAGAGACCUGAGUGUCAAGGCUCAAAUUGCAGCCAACCCAGAUCUGCAAUGGUGAACACCACACCUGCUGUAUGGCAGGGUUAGAGUGAUGUCGAUGAGCUACCCUGUGACUUAGCUCCAACUCCCCCUUGGUCCUGGCCUCCUCUCUCCUCAAAGCUGGAUAAUGUUGGUUUGCUCUUCGGCUUGCAGUUACAGAGGAACUGGCACAAAGAUUCACCAUGACUCCCUGGACAAGACCUAUUGCGUUCAAGUUGCUUGUACACACCAGAAGUUCUUCUGCUAAGUUUGACUGAGACUUGCAUGUUGCCAUUAAUUUUUUAAAAAUGGUUUUA